rnacentral:rRNA from 1 species
GACGUAGGGGGCUAGCGUUGUCCGGAUUUAUUGGGCGUAAAGAGCGUGUAGGCGGCCAGGUAGGUCUGGUGUGAAAACUCGAGGCUUAACCUCGAGAUGUCAUCGGAAACCAUCUGGCUAGAGUCCGGAAGAGGAGAGUGGAAUUCCUGGUGUAGCGGUGAAAUGCGCAGAUAUCAGGAAGAACACCAAUGGCGAAAGCAGCUCUCUGGGACGGUACUGACGCUGAGACGCGAAAGCGUGGGGAGCAAACAGG